GUCCGAGUCCUCAAGCCUGAGAUCCUCCGCCACCGCCAGCCCAGAGAGCGCCCUGUCGCUGCAGGUUUCAAAGGAUCAACAGCGAGAAACAAGGCAGCCUAUGAGAGUAGACGGAGCCAAGGAGCCCACGCCGGAGCUGCCCUCCUUCAAGAUCCCGUCUUGGGAGUUGGACCUGGAGAACCUCAUGCCCCUGUACCUGCUGCCAUGCAGCCACCAGAAUGUGCUGUCCAGGGAGGACACCCCCUCUGGGGGCCAGCAGAGCCCGGGUGGGGCGCCCGCCACCUCCAGCAAUGAGCCACGAGAGGAGCAGGCCGCCCAGGGCCCGUGCUGUCUCCAGGACAGCCAGCCUCCAGAGGCGACACUGGAGGUGGCUCAUGCCAGCGUCGCUCCGUUAGGCCAGGCUGAGGACCCGCCCGCAGCUCAGGGAGAGACCGGGGUCCCCCUGCGUACCCCCAGGGAAGCCCGUGAUCAUGACGCCUGAUGGCCUGGAGGGGCUCGCCACUGUGCUCAGAGGGCAGUGCAUCCUCAAAUGUCCCUGGCUGUCCCUCCUCCUGCGCAGACACCAGGGGUGCCUGGCAGCCUGUUCCUGCAGAGGGUAGCCCGGGCUCUGGCUGCGGAAAGUCAGGCCAAAGAAGGGAACCGAGCGCCUCCUCAGAUCCUGGCCACGCGGAAGCCUUCCCUGAAACUUGCAUCUCGCUCAGCGUGGAAGCCACGUUGUAAAGGCUCGGACAGUUUCCCAAACACGCCCACAUGUUGUGCGGGGACUAAGGGUGGACCUGGGAUGCUGUUUUCACUUGUGUUGAUUAGCAAUGGUAACUGUUAGGGACUUAAGCAGCUUUUAAGGAAAUUCUUCAGAACUUCUUAGGAAGUUGUAUUUUAGGAAAUAAUAGAAAUUAAUUUUAUUGGCAAUAAACUUUAAAUCGGUCUUGGUAAAUUUUACAUUCUUGGGCUUUGGGUGGUCUUUUGGGGGG
rnacentral:lncRNA from 1 species